rnacentral:lncRNA from 1 species
UCCGUUUUUUCACAGGUCGGAUAUCCGCCCUCAAACGAUAUUUUCACCUAUGCUCUACUACCGUUUUUCAUCACCUUUUUAUCAACAAUACAUCACUGCUGAUGGUUUUCUCCCCAGCUUCUCAUGGUCACUUAUCUCUUUUUCUGAACUUCUACACUCUUUCAUUUGGAUUCUUGGUCAACCUUCUCGAUGGAGGCCUAUAUCUCGGACAGUAUUCCUAGAAAGAUUACCGGAAGACGAAGAAUUACCUCCAAUAGAUGCACUGCAGAUCCAAACAAAGAACCAACUAUAGGAGUGUUGAACACAGUGAUAUCAGCUAUGUCUUUAGACUACCCUUCUGAAAAGCUCUUUGUGUAUGUGUCCGAUGAUGGGGGUGCACCUAUUACUUUGUUUGGUAUGAUAGAAGCUUAUAGUUUUGCUAAACAAGGGAUUCCUUUUUGUAAGAAAUAUGGAAUAAAAACAAGAGCUCCAGAUGCUCAUUUCUCGCAAUCAGAUCAUCAAAAGGAAAAUGGUUCAAUGAGUAAUGAAUUUGCUGAAAUUAAUUCGAAAGGAAAUGGAGGUGAGCUAACAUUUCGAUCUUAUCGCGUACUCUUACAGUGCAUCAUAAAAUUUAGUUACUUUUACUGUUUUACACGUCUAAUUAACAAGAUUCAAUCCAGGUUAGGUAUCAAGUGUUUAAGCAACGGGUGCAGAAAGCAAGAUCAAGUGGUGCUGCAAGCUUAUCUUCUGGUUCAGAUCGACCUCCUAUUAUCGACGUAAAUUAAGUUUAAUUUGGUGGUAUUGACAUGUUUACAGUAUAUUGAUUUAGGCAAAUUAGAUUUUGUGGACUUGCUGACCCUGAAUUCGAUUAUGGCAGGUCAUACAAAAUGAUGCAGUCGAUGGUGAAGUAAAAGAAAAUGAUCAAGCCAAGGUGGCUCUUCUAAUUUAUGUUUCGCGUGAAGAAAGACCAACUCAUCCACACCAUUUCAAACCAGGAGCUCUUAAUGCCCUUGUAUGUUUAAUUGUUUAUAUUUAUUCCUCUCCCUUCUAGUGUUCUACGACACAUUAUGAUGUACUGGUCACUUCGAUCAGCAUGACGUACUGGUAUUAAUUAACGACCAAUAACCUCUUGACGCAUGUCCUUGUUGCAGCUUCGUGUGUCAGGCAUAAUAAGCAAUUCUCCAUACAUGUUGGUCUUAGAUUGUGAUAUGAAUUGCAGUGACCCAACCUCUGCUAGACAAGCUAUGUGUUUCCACAUUGAUCCUGACAUCUCUCCCUCGUUGGCUUUUGUUCAAUUUCCUCAACUGUUCCAUAAUCUCAGUAAGAAUGACAUCUAUAAUGAUCUAUUGAGAACCGGAUGUGAGGUAUAUCUACGUUAAACGAGUCUUGUAUAGCUAAUUAACGUCUCAGAGUCGGGAUAAUCUAGGUUAUUAAAACUGUUCUGAUUAUAUUUGCAAUCGGACGUCGUUAUAUUUCAGGUGCAGUGGUAUGGUCUGGAUGGCCUACGGGGGCCACUUUUAUCUGGCACUGGCUUUUAUACGAAGAGAGAAGCUUUGUUUAGAAGUCCUACACAAAAAGGUUUAGCAAAAAACUUAGGGACGGGUUCCUUCUUCUACUGACUUAUGUAAAGUGUUUUUUUUUUUUUUUUUUUUGAUAAUUAAGUUUAACACCUUAUUAAAAUUAAAACUGUCAGAAACAAGUUACAAGAAGUUAACAUGGACAGUGAGAGAGACACUCACUCUCCUUGCAGGCCUAAUCAACUCUUUAUUGUGCAGAUCUAAGUCACAUUAGGAAUAGGCAAGAUGUCGGUUGUUCAAAUGACUUCAUCACAUCACUUCAUCCUGAUAACAAAGUUAAAGCAAUUAGCAAUAAUCAACAUGUAUCAAGCAGAUUGCUUGAAGAGGCCAGACUUCUGGCUUCUUGCACAUACGAGUAACAAACACAAUGGGGUGAACAGGUAAGUUAAUUUCCAAAUGAAUAAACAAACCAUCUCAUGUCAUUAUGACCCUAUCAGUAUUGUUCCAUCAAAAUUUUUAUAAGAAUGAGAAGUACGGACAAACUGAUUUAAGCUACAAGAUAAUAUUCAGCUCUCAUAUUAAAAAUGUGUUAGUAUCAUAAUAACUGAGCUGCAUAAGUGCUUCAGCUUAGGAUCUACAUAAAAAAUACGAAAUUCCAUCAGUAAUUACUUACUCUUUACCUAGUGUCUUACCUCUCUUUCUUUCUUAAUGGCGUUUUCUGAAAUAUCCAGACCUACAACAUAACGUUCAGGGCCAACAAUUGCAAUCACAUGAUGAUCUUGUUGGCUAUAAUAAGUAAGUACAAUAUAACGUGCAAACUAAUAAAACAUAAAAAUUAAACAAGUUUGUUGAACAGUUUUAAUUAGAGACCAAAUGUUGUUACAUGCGUGAAAACGCCACUUUCACUUAUAAAUGACCAUUGCAUCAAAAUGUCAUGUCAUCAGAUAAAAUUUUAACAUUUUGGAACAUGUACUCACAUGCUGAAACAAUAACAAACAUGUAAACACUUACAGUGUCACAUACUGGGAUUAGAACCCUGCCUUUUGGAAGAGGAAGAGCAGCUGGUUUGUAGAAGAUUUAAAAUAACAGGUGUUGGUCCUCGCAAAUCCCCAUAGUGUUCAGUGCUUUUUCCUAGCAUUAUUUGUCCCAGGCACCUAGUCAUUCAAACUUAAACAAAAUUCAGAAAUUCAAUAGUUGUAAUGGACAGAACGACUUAGAAAUUAAACACAAGUUUUCCUUUGAGCUUCCAAUGUAGUCAAUUAUGUUGAUGUAAAAAUCCAUUAAGGCCAUUAUGCUAUGCUUCUUGAAGCAGAUUUACAAACAUUCUACAAAUAAGUCAAAGUGUUGCAAGGUUUCUGUUACAUGUUCGAUAAUCUAAUUCUCACUGGUAUGAUUAUGUAUUCACAUUAUCACUUCAAAUUUUCAUCAUCAUCAUCAUCAUCAUCAUCAUACUCAAAUUAUCACAAAUAAGAUAUUGAAUUCCAUGGAAAUUGAAGAAUAUACAAUUAAAUUAAACAACAAUAAAAAGAAGAGUAGAGAUGAGAUGAGAUGAGAUAGUAAGGAGAGAGUGUCAGACCUGUUGAAUCAUUGUUAACGAAUUGGUUCAAGUUAGGUAGAUUUUAGUUGUUGUUGUUGUUCGAAAUCUUCUCUUGAUCUCUUCUCUUUCACUUUGUUUCCUCAUGCUCCUUCGUUCCAACCUAUUGCAAGUUGCAACAACAAAGAUUUUUCACUCUUGUUGUUGUUAAAUGUAAAUGAAGGAAACUGCAAUUGGAUUUGGAGAGCGAACGAACAAGAUUACAAGAGUGUUGCGCGCAAGCAAACAUUACCAUCGCUCGCUCUCGCUCUCGCUCUCGAGUCUCGUCAAACCUUGGAGGAAGAUUGCCUUGGACUGGGCACUGGACUUGCUGAAUUUCUCAACCUAAAGGCAACAAUCUUGCUGUCUAUU